ensembl:lncRNA
AUAGGUAUAGGUAAGGUAUAGGUAAUGUAAGGUAUAGGUAUAGGUAAGGUAUAGGUAUAGGUCAGGUAAUGUAAGGUAUAGGUAAGGUAUAGGUAAGGUAAGGUAUAGGUCAGGUCAGGUAAGGUAAGGUAUAGGUAAGGUAUAGGUAAAGUAAGGUAUAGGUAAGGUAAGGUAUAGGUAUAGGUAAGGUAUAGGUCAGGUAAGGUAUAGGUCAGGUAAGGUAUAGGUAAGGUAAGGUAUAGGUUAGGUAUAGGUCAGGUAUAGGUAUAGGUCAGGUAUAGGUAAGGUAAGGUAUAGGUCAGGUAUAGGUAAGGUAAGGUAUAGGUUAGGUAUAGGUCAGGUAAGGUAUAGGUCAGGUAAGGUAUAGGUCAGGUAUAGGUAAGGUAUAGGUCAGGUAUAGGUACGGUAAGGUAUAGGUUAGGUAUAGGUCAGGUAAGGUAUAGGUCAGGUAAGGUAUAGGUAAGGUAAGGUAUAGGUUAGGUAUAGGUCAGGUAAGGUAUAGGUCAGGUAAGGUAUAGGUUAGGUAUAGGUCAGGUAUAGGUAAGGUGAGGUAUAGGUAAGGUAAGGUAUAGGUCAGGUAAGGUAUAGGUAAGGUAAGGUAUAGGUUAGGUAUAGGUCAGGUAAGGUAUAGGUCAGGUAAGUUAUAGGUUAGGUAUAGGUCAGGUAUAGGUAAGGUAAGGUACAGCUUGGCUGUCGAAACGUUGGACAUUACAUUGUUGCAUCUGAGCUCCUAGAGUGUGCGGC